AUUGAACGCUGGCGGCAGGCUUAACACAUGCAAGUCGAACGAUGAUUAUCUAGCUUGCUAGAUAUGAUUAGUGGCGGACGGGUGAGUAACAUUUAGGAAUCUACCUAGUAGUGGGGGAUAGCUCGGGGAAACUCGAAUUAAUACCGCAUACGACCUACGGGGGAAAGGGGGCGCAAGCUCUUGCUAUUAGAUGAGCCUAAAUCAGAUUAGCUAGUUGGUGGGGUAAAGGCCCACCAAGGCGACGAUCUGUAACUGGUCUGAGAGGAUGAUCAAUCACACCGGAACUGAGACACGGUCCGGACUCCUACGGGAGGCAGCAGUGGGGAAUAUUGGACAAUGGGGGCAACCCUGAUCCAGCCAUGCCGCGUGUGUGAAGAAGGCCUUUUGGUUGUAAAGCACUUUAAGCAGGGAGGAGAGGCUAAUGGUUAAUACCCAUUAGAUUAGACGUUACCUGCAGAAUAAGCACCGGCUAACUCUGUGCCAGCAGCCGCGGUAAUACAGAGGGUGCGAGCGUUAAUCGGAAUUACUGGGCGUAAAGCGAGUGUAGGUGGCUCAUUAAGUCACAUGUGAAAUCCCCGGGCUUAACCUGGGAACUGCAUGUGAUACUGGUGGUGCUAGAAUAUGUGAGAGGGAAGUAGAAUUCCAGGUGUAGCGGUGAAAUGCGUAGAGAUCUGGAGGAAUACCGAUGGCGAAGGCAGCUUCCUGGCAUAAUAUUGACACUGAGAUUCGAAAGCGUGGGUAGCAAACAGG
rnacentral:rRNA from 1 species